AUGAGCCCAAGUGGGAUUAGGUAGUUGGUGAGGUAACGGCUCACCUAGGCGACGAUACAUAGCCGACCUGAGAGGGUGAUCGGCCACACUGGGACUGAGACACGGCCCAGACUCCUACGGAAGGCAGCAGUAGGGAAUCUUCGGCAAUGGGGGCAACCCUGACCGAGCAACGCCGCGUGAGUGAAGAAGGUUUUCGGAUCGUAAAGCUCUGUUGUAAGUCAAGAACGAGUGUGAGAGUGGAAAGUUCACACUGUGACGGUAGCUUACCAGAAAGGGACGGCUAACUACGUGCCAGCAGCCGCGGUAAUACGUAGGUCCCGAGCGUUGUCCGGAUUUAUUGGGCGUAAAGCGAGCGCAGGCGGUUUGAUAAGUCUGAAGUUAAAGGCUGUGGCUCAACCAUAGUUCGCUUUGGAAACUGUCAAACUUGAGUGCAGAAGGGGAGAGUGAAAUUCCAUGUGUAGCGGUGAAAUGCGUUGAUAUAUGGAGGAACACCGGUGGCGAAAGCGGCUCUCUGGUCUGUAACUGACGCUGAGGCUCGAAAGCGUGGGGAGCGAACAGGA
rnacentral:rRNA from 1 species